rnacentral:snRNA from 1 species
GUGCUCUUCAGCAGCACAUACCCUGAAGUUGGAACGACAUAGAGGAGAUGAGCGUGGCCCUGCACAAGGGCCACAGACAUUCCGUCCUUUUUAAAAUAAAUAA